rnacentral:rRNA from 1 species
GGGUCACGAGGGGGCGGGAGCGGCGGUAAUAGGUGGUGGGAAAUGGUGGGCAGGAGUUAUUGGGCGUAAAGGGCGGGUAGGAGGGCAAGCAGGGCCGUGGUGAAAUCGCGAGGCGUAAACGCGGGAGGUCGGUGGAAACCGUUUGGCUAGAGGUCGGAAGAGGAGAGUGGAAUUCCCGGUGUAGCGGUGAAAUGCGCAGAUAUCGGGAAGAACACCCGUGGCGAAGGCGGCUCUCUGGGACGGUACUGACGCUGAGACGCGAAAGCGUGGGGAGCGAACAGGAUUAGAUACCCCAGUAGC